rnacentral:rRNA from 1 species
GACGAACGCUGGCGGCGUGCUUAACACAUGCAAGUCGAACGGAAAGGCCCUGCUUUUGUGGGGUGCUCGAGUGGCGAACGGGUGAGUAACACGUGAGUAACCUGCCAUUGACUUUGGGAUAACUUCAGGAAACUGGGGCUAAUACCGGAAAGGAGCUCCUGCUGCAUGGUGGGGGUUGGAAGGUUUCGGCGGUUGGGGUUGGACUCGCGGCUUAUCAGCUUGUUGGUGGGGUAGUGGCUUACCAAGGCUUUGAAGGGUGGCCGGCCUGAGAGGGUGACCGGCCACAUUGGGACUGGGAUACGGCCCAGACUCCUACGGGAGGCAGCAGUGGGGAAUAUUGCACAAUGGGCGGAAGCCUGAUGCAGCAACGCCGCGUGCGGGAUGUCGGCCUUCGGGUUGUAAACCGCUUUCGCCUGUGACGAAGCGUGAGUGACGGUAAUGGGUAAAGAAGCACCGGCUAACUACGUG